GUGGGUUUGGGGAGCAGGUGGGUACCCCUGGGAUACGGCUGGCAUGCGGGGGUCUGAUGGACAUCUUCCUCCAGCCACGAUGUGCCACAGCUCUGACAACACCCGGCCAAAAUUGCUCUCCCCAAAGGGGGGAUCCUGGAAGGGUGCGGGUUUGGUGGGGAUGCGGGCUGCUGUAACGGCCUGGCAAGGGCACGAAUGAGAUUGGUGCCGUGCCCGGCACUCUUUGCAGUGUCAGCACAUCUGUCUGCACCCGAAGGCACUGCUGUGUGUGCAGGAUGCCACCGUGCCCACGUGCUGGGAUUGGCCCCUGCAGGGUGCUGGGGCAGAGGGACACACAGUGUGACACCGGGGACAGAUCAUACCUGCAUGGCUGGGAUGCACUGCGCUCCUGGUCUGGGAUGCUCCGAUAGGAGAAGCAUUUAAUUACUGUCAUAUGAACAUCGGGGCACUGCUCCCUCAUUUCCCCAUACGGGUGAGGGCUUUGGGUGCUUUUCGGGCACAGCUUUGGUGGCCAAAGGGAACUGUAAGCAGUGCAGAUCUCAGUGCCUGUGCUCCUGCACCCCCAGCCCUGCCACCCCGUGUUCACCACACAGAUGCUUAGGGCCAUCCCAUGCAACCCCAUGCCACAUUGGGCACCUUUUUAUCCCCAAAACAAAAGCUCUCCAAUAAACCAAACAGCGGUGUUGUGCUUUCAAUCAGCAUUCAUUAACAAAGCCCGGACAGCGCUGCUGAGCAAAUCGCAGCCUUAAUGUCUCAACAACAGAUUUUCCCCUAUUGCUGCUUUGGGUCCGGGCUCUGAUUUGGGGUUUUUUUUCUCCCUCAGCGAUGGGGUUGGGCCGCUGUGAGGUGGUGGGGUGACCUCAAUCCGGGGUGGCCACAGCACCUCUAAUCCCCUCUUUUAAUUGAUUACUCUCACCCAUCCCCUGCGGCGGUGGGAUCGGGGACCCACCCUCUAUAGAUUAGCACCCUUUAGUUUACAGCUCAGCCACUUUUUCAGUCCUUUGCCCUGCAGCAACGCAUGAAAAUAACGCUAAUCUCAUUAAGGACAGAAGGGAGCCCUUCAAAGUUUAUUAAUAAUGGGAGCAGACAGGGAGCGAGCUGGGCCAUGGGUCGGGUUUCAAAGCCGGGAGGCGGAGGGUGGAGGGUUUUUGCUUUGAGUGGAGCUGAUGGGCAGAGGGGACACACCGGGAUGGGGACGGUGGCACCCGGGUGUCCCCUCCUGGAAAAAUGACCUCCGCAAGGCUGAUCAACCAGGCCUUCCUUUGGCUCCAAAUGCCACAACGAAGGGGCCCCGAUUAAAGGAGAAAAUGUGGUUUUUCCAAGGGUUGCAGCCCUAUUUUUGGUGGUUUUGUCCCCUUCGGGUUGAAGUGCAGAAUUCCUCCCCCUCCUGAAUGCAAUCAAUGAGGGCAGUGGUGUGUUAGCCCCAGCUCAGCAUCCCUGACCUCAAGGACAUCAAAGGGAAAAGACCCUACAGGGAGAAUACCCCAAAGGGAGAAGUACCCAAAGGGGGAAGUACCCAAAGGGAGGAGAUCCCAAAGGAGAAGACCCCAAAAGGAGAAGACCUCAAAGGGAGAAACACUCAAAGGGAGGAGAUCCCAAAGGGAAAAGACCCCAAAGGGAGAAGACCUCAGAGGGAGAAAACUCCGAAGGGAAAAGACCUCAAAGAGAGAAGCCCUGAGAGGGAGAAGCCCUGGGAAGGAUCAGCCCCAGCCCAGCACACCCCCUGCCCUUGCUGUGCCCCUAUUCCUGUUCCCCCUUCCCGCCCCCCCCCCUCACCCCCCCACUGCCCAAUUAUCACUGUUACACUGCACAGCUGCCAGGACUUCCCUUUCAGGCGCACACACGGCGGGUUGUGCCCUCACCUCACACCACUGCUGUGAACUGCAGCGGGAGCAGCGCCCGCCCCGACCCCUCCGCUCCAUCUGGAGGAGCUCCCAUCAGCACUCAGCAGCACGGAGCACCCCGAGGGCACCCGCAAUUCAGGGGAGCGGAGCAUCCCAUAGCGGGACAGGAGGUGUGCAGAGCAGGGGAUCACUGCACGGCACUGCAGGGCGCUGCACACCCAGCCCAGUGUGCUCACACCAACACCCCGACCCCACUGCGGCUUUGGGGUGCAGCACCGCGGGUCGGGGGGCUGUAAUGGGUGGGUGUGU
ensembl:lncRNA